GACGAACGCUGGCGGCGUGCUUAACACAUGCAAGUCGAACGAUGAAGCGGUGCUUGCACCGUGGAUUAGUGGCGAACGGGUGAGUAAUACGUGAGUGACCUACCUUUGACUCUGGGAUAAGCCUGGGAAACUGGGUCUAAUACCGGAUACGACCAAUCUCUGCAUGGGGUGUUGGUGGAAAGCGUUAUGGAGUGGUUUUAGAUGGGCUCACGGCCUAUCAGCUUGUUGGUGAGGUAAUGGCUUACCAAGGCGACGACGGGUAGCCGGCCUGAGAGGGUGACCGUCCACACUGGGACUGAGACACGGCCCAGACUCCUACGGGAGGCAGCAGUGGGGAAUAUUGCACAAUGGGCGCAAGCCUGAUGCAGCGACGCCGCGUGAGGGAUGACGGCCUUCGGGUUGUAAACCUCUGUUAGCAUCGAAGAAGCGAAAGUGACGGUAGGUGCAGAGAAAGCGCCGGCUAACUACGUG
rnacentral:rRNA from 1 species